AUUGAGCGCUGGCGGUAGGCUUAACACAUGCAAGUCGAGCGAGCGGCGGACGGGUGAGUAAUGUCUGGGAAACUGCCUGAUGGAGGGGGAUAACUACUGGAAACGGUAGCUAAUACCGCAUACCAUCAGAUGUUCCCAGAUGGGAUUGGCUAGUAGUUGGGGUAAUGGCGCACCUGGGCGACGAUCCCUAGCUGUUCUGAGAGGAUGACCGGCCAACUGGGACCUGAGACAGGGUCCAGACUCCUACGGGAGGUGGCAGUGGGGAAUAUUGCACAAUGGGCGCAAGCGUGAUGCAGCCAGGCCGCGUGGGUGAAGAAGGCCUUCGGGUUGUAAAGCACUUUCAGCGAGGAGGCGUUACUCGAAGAAGAAGCACCGGCUAACUCCGUGCCAGCCGCCGCGGUAAUUC
rnacentral:rRNA from 1 species